rnacentral:lncRNA from 1 species
CCUGCCCCCGCGCCGCCCGCUCGUCCGCCUGUCUCAGCAAGGCCAUCGGUCCGUCCGCCCGCCCGCCCUCCCGGCGAUCCUCCGCCCCGGUCCCGCUAGCCUGGACGCGCGCGUCGCUUCCUCCGUUCCGGUCGCCGCAAGCCGGCUCCCCGCCCCCGGGCCGGCCGCCACCUCUACGCUAGGCCGGGGAUUGGCAGCGCGCGUAGGCCGCGCCGCCGCUGAUGGAGCUGGAAUAAAGGGGCGGCAGAGAGAGCAGCUGGUCGCCGCUUGCCCCGCGCCUGGCUCCGCGGGCGGCCUGGAGCAGGAGAAAACUUACAAACUUUUCAACUUCAGAGGCCGAUGA